rnacentral:rRNA from 1 species
CAGCAGCCGCGGUAAUACGUAGGGUGCAAGCGUUAAUCGGAAUUACUGGGCGUAAAGCGUGCGCAGGCGGUUUGUUAAGACAGAUGUGAAAUCCCCGGGCUUAACCUGGGAACUGCAUUUGUGACUGGCAAGCUAGAGUAUGGCAGAGGGGGGUGGAAUUCCGCGUGUAGCAGUGAAAUGCGUAGAUAUGCGGAGGAACACCGAUGGCGAAGGCAGCCCCCUGGGCCAAUACUGACGCUCAUGCACGAAAGCGUGGGGAGCAAACAGGAUUAGAUACCCGCGUAGUCCCUGUCUCUUAUAC